rnacentral:rRNA from 1 species
AACGAACGCUGGCGGCAUGCCUAACACAUGCAAGUCGAACGAGACCUUCGGGUCUAGUGGCGCACGGGUGCGUAACGCGUGGGGACCUGCCCUUAGGUUCGGAAUAACUCCCCGAAAGGGGUGCUAAUACCGGAUAAUGUCUUCGGACCAAAGAUUUAUCGCCUUUGGAUGGGCCCGCGUUGGAUUAGCUAGUUGGUAGGGUAAAAGCCUACCAAGGCGACGAUCCAUAGCUGGUCUGAGAGGAUGAUCAGCCACACUGGGACUGAGACACGGCCCAGACUCCUACGGGAGGCAGCAGUGGGGAAUAUUGGACAAUGGGCGAAAGCCUGAUCCAGCAAGGCCGCGUGAGUGAUGAAGGCCUUAGGGUUGUAAAGCUCUUUUACCCGGGAUGAUAAUGACAGUACCGGGAGAAUAAGCUCCGGCUAACUCCGUG